UACGGAGGGGGCUAGCGUUGUUCGGAAUUACUGGGCGUAAAGCGCACGUAGGCGGCUUUGUAAGUCAGAGGUGAAAGCCCGGAGCUCAACUCCGGAAUUGCCUUUGAGACUGCAUCGCUUGAAUCCAGGAGAGGUGAGUGGAAUUCCGAGUGUAGAGGGUGAAAUUCGUAGAUAUUCGGAAGAAACACCAGUGGCGAAGGCGGCUCACUGGACUGGUAUUGACGCUGAGGUGCGAAAGCGUGGGGAGCAAACAGG
rnacentral:rRNA from 1 species